rnacentral:rRNA from 1 species
AUUGAACGCUGGCGGCAGGCCUAACACAUGCAAGUCGAGCGGAUGAAGGGAGCUUGCUCCUGGAUUCAGCGGCGGACGGGUGAGUAAUGCCUAGGAAUCUGCCUGGUAGUGGGGGAUAACGUCCGGAAACGGGCGCUAAUACCGCAUACGUCCUGAGGGAGAAAGUGGGGGAUCUUCGGACCUCACGCUAUCAGAUGAGCCUAGGUCGGAUUAGCUAGUUGGUGGGGUAACGGCCUACCAAGGCGACGAUCCGUAACUGGUCUGAGAGGAUGAUCAGUCACACUGGAACUGAGACACGGUCCAGACUCCUACGGGAGGCAGCAGUGGGGAAUAUUGGACAAUGGGCGAAAGCCUGAUCCAGCCAUGCCGCGUGUGUGAAGAAGGUCUUCGGAUUGUAAAGCACUUUAAGUUGGGAGGAAGGGAAGUAAGUUAAUACCUUGCUGUUUUGACGUUACCAACAGAAUAAGCACCGGCUAACUUCGUG